CUACGGGGGGCAGCAGUGGGGAAUAUUGCACAAUGGGGGAAACCCUGAUGCAGCAACGCCGCGUGGAGGAUGACACAUUUCGGUGCGUAAACUCCUUUUAUAUGAGAAGAAAAUGACGGUAUCAUAUGAAUAAGCGCCGGCUAACUCCGUGCCAGCAGCCGCGGUAAUACGGAGGGCGCAAGCGUUACUCGGAAUCACUGGGCGUAAAGAGCGUGUAGGCGGGUAGUUAAGUUGGAAGUGAAAUCCUAUGGCUCAACCAUAGAACUGCUUCCAAAACUGAUUACCUAGAAUAUGGGAGAGGUAGAUGGAAUUUCUGGUGUAGGGGUAAAAUCCGUAGAGAUCAGAAGGAAUACCGAUUGCGAAGGCGAUCUACUGGAACAUUAUUGACGCUGAGACGCGAAAGCGUGGGGAGCAAACAGGAUUAGAUACCCUCGUAGUC
rnacentral:rRNA from 1 species